rnacentral:lncRNA from 1 species
UGGUGCUCUGUUGCUAAGAAAUUGUUUUCUGCAGGCCCGCCUGCGGGGCAGUUGUCUCGGACUACUUGCCUAUUCAAAGUCUCCCGAGUCCUGUAGCUUAGCAACCUAUCUUUAUUGUAUCCUACCAUUUCCCUGUGAUCAGCUUCUUUAAAAAAUAUAUUUAUAAAAUGAAGUCACCAGAACUCUAAAGCUAAGUCCCAAACGAGCAGAGAAGAGUCUCACAUCUGCUUCGCUUACAGAAAUGUAGCACACCUCUUUUCUGGUUUUCUAGAGCACGAAGAGAGAAGACAACAUGGACAACAUGAUGGACUCUGACAUGUCUCCUGACUCCCGAACAUCGUUUCGCUUUGACAAAAGGAUCGCUUUCUUUGCGAGUCAGGACCUGGCUUCUAUAAGAAGUAAAGCAUUUGUGUACCCUCAAACCGAACUCAGCACUAACAUCUGGAAAAGAAAGGCACUAGAUUUCACACCAAAACUAUACAGAUCCAUUAGGCUGCCUCAGAAGGCAAAAAGAAUUGAGCGUGCCUCUUUGACAUUGACCAGCUCUGCUGGUAACCUGGACAGUUUCUGGAAAGCCAGAUCAAUAGAGCUGCCAGAAAUUUUUCCAAAAAAAGAACAGCCAAAGUUUGAAGCAAGAUUCAGGCCUCCUGAUGCACUUGGAGCAAGUAUAAUUUUUGUAAAAACAGGCAAAUACCCCUCUGAUGUCUACAAAGAUCCCAAACCUCAUGACUUCAGGCAGUAUGAAGAUAAUAUACCAGACAUAGUGACGACCUAUGAACGAGAUCCAGGCAAUCUGAAUCUCAAGUUACAGAACCUCAGUGCAAUCGACAGCUCCAGAUCCCCAGCCCCAGCGCUGCGGCAGAAAGGGCGCUCUGACAGAUUCGACACGUUCAAGCCGGCCGAACCCAAGUGGGAUCCGAAGCUAAUACUUCCGGAGGGACCCUGGCCUCCAAAGUCAGCUUCUUACACGAGACACAGGCGGAGAAGAGGUGUUUAUUCUGCCCUGAUGGAGCGUGUGGAAGAGAAACUUGAUAACAUGUGCAAAAAUGUACCAUAGAUUGUCAUCAUUACAGCAGUCAUAUAGCAUCUACAUCAUACAGCAGUAUACUAUAUAUGCAGUAGUACGUACAAUGUAGUUGUUCUCUUCUUCAUAUAUCACUUUUUAAAGGUGAGCUUGAAAGUGAUUUUUAUGUGUUGUGUUUUAGAUGUUCUUUCACUGCUUCCUUGAUAUACUCAGCUCCACAAACUACAAGCUAGACAAGGGCGUGCUUGGAAUUCUGUAGGUACUGUUUUUUAGAUUAAACUGGAGAAUCUGUGAUUCCAAGAAUACGAUGCAUCCAAAAAAAGCUUUGGAGGUUUUGGAGGUUUGGGGAGACAAAAACUGGGACCAGUGCUGGAUUUGAAAAAGAAAAUAACCAGAGAAACGGCAUGGAAUGCCUCUUGGGUGUUGUACGUCUUUGUCCACCUGGGGUAGAUGCGAAUUCCCAACAAAUUGUGCAUCUGCUGCACAUUCCUCACACUGUGCAUUCAGUAAAAAUGAAACUACCUCUCUUUGGCUCUCACAAGGCAAGUGCAUUAAUACAGUAUAUGUAUUGUACCAGUGUGCAAUACACUAAAGAAUCUUAGUGCUCUUACUUUAUACUUUUAUUUGAUGAUAAUUAUAUUGCACAUUGUUUUCAUUCACUUAAGGAUGUUUGUAUUCUUGCAGUUCUUGUAGAGGAUUGUUUUUUAUGUAUUGCUUUGGAAUGGGCAAUGUAAAAACCUGCCUCUUCUAUGUUUUGAAUGGCUGUUAGUUCAUAUGCAUUACUUUGUCCAAUGUCAUUCUAAAAUCUGCAAUAAACAUUCACUUCUCAUAAAGUCUGAACCUCUGGUAACAACUCAUGAGCUCAAACAGCAUAGUAAAUAAUUUUCUUUGUGUAAACAGUGUUCUGUUAUUAUUCUGGGUUCGAUUCAUUAACAGUCCACAAGAUUUGAAAGGGAAUAAUAACUUGACUGGAAAAGACCUCCACACACUCCUCGUUGUGUUACUAAUUUCAUGGCUUAAAGCCUUAUUGCUGCGCUCAUGCAUCAACUAGUAUCCUUACACAUACGUUCAUUAUUCUUAUCACUACAAAUACUACAGUCGUCAGUUACAGGAUAGAUACAUUUCUCAGAUGUAUCUGUCCCAUUUUGGGUGUUGGAGGUCCUGGAGCUUUCAAACCAGCCAUGAUGUAAAACCGUAAACAGACAGAAUCAUACCUUCUCAUUAACAGAAUUGUCAGAACCCAUUAAAUAUUAAUUGUAAUCAUCUUAGACUAGAUUAUUGUCACGCCCUGUACACCUAGAGGGCACUGCUCUUCUGUCCUGCUCCUAGUUCCCUGUGAUUAUUCAUGUCUUUCCAGUUUGUCCUGUUGUGUUGCCUAUUUACUUCCUGGUUCUGCUCUGCUCCUCGCUCGGCAUUGAGGGAACGGAUGUCCUGAGACCUGCCUAGCACCAGGUCGCUCCUGUCUGUGGCCUGAGGGCAUAGGUUUCUAUAGCGAGGUUUUGUCUGUCCCCCUGAACCUGGGCUAACCCCUGUGUUGCCCCUUUUACUGCUACACAUAGGGUCUGUCCUGCUCUCCUUGUCAUUCCACGGCUUGCCCUUCCGACAUCCGUGACAAUUAUGAUCACAUAUACAGUAGUCAUACUUUCAGUAGUAAAUUCGACAGAAAUGCUUUUGAUGCCCUUUGAAUAUGGUUUGUUUGUGCCUAAUUGUUAUUUAGCUAUCAGUUAUCAAACAAAGAUUUUUUUUUUCCAAGUUGGUCAUUGUUCCAUGGUGGCACAGUAGUUAGCAUUGCUGCCUCACAGUGCUGGGGUCCUGGGUCACUUCUUGGGGUGCUCCUGCCUCUGCGGGGAGUUCAUACUGUGUGUUCACCCCAGGUUCGUGUGGGUUUCCUCCAGGUGUUUCCUCUUACAGUCCAAAGACAUGCUGGUCAGUUAAUUCGCUUAUGGGAAAAUUGGCCCCGCUGUGAGUGUGUGUGUCUGUGUGCCCUGUGCUAGACUGGCAUCCCAUCAUGCAUGUGUCUGACAGGCAAUUGUCUGGCAAUCGACUGGCAGUACAUCCAGGAUGUAUUUUGCCUUGUGUCCCUUGCUUGUCUUGGUUAGCUUCCAGCUCCCAUGCAACCCUCUAUUGGAAAAGCGGAUUAGAAAAUUGUUGGAUGGUCAGACAUACUGUACUUGCACUUGGUCCAAUUCUUUUUUGUAUCUAUGCAUUACUGUUUGGUCAGAUUCUUUAUAGAUAUGACGUGAUCUUUCAUUUCUAUGUUGAUGACACCUAUAUUUACUGAAAAUGUAUGUACACACAAAAUCAGGCUGACAUUAAUCAAUCAUAUUCUGCUUUGCCACACUGCUCAGAUGAUGUUAAAAGUGAAGGUAACAAAGCGUUUUAGUUCUGGCCUCCGGAAAGAUAAAAGAUAUAUUAAUUUUCUAUCCUGUGUAAAUGUGUCAAUCUCUUUUCACUAUUGCUGGUUGUGGAAUCAGUUCAAGUGUUAUUCUUGGAUGAAUAAUAAACGAUUUUUGAAAAGGG